GCGAAUGGCUCAUUAAAUCAGUUAUCGUUUAUUUGAUAGUACCUUACUACUUGGAUAACCGUGGUAAUUCUAGAGCUAAUACAUGCUGAAAACCCCAACUCCGGGAGGGGUGUAUUUAUUAGAUAAAAAACCAACGCCCUCCGGGGCUUCUUGGUGAUUCAUGAUAACUUAACGGAUCGCAUGGCCUUGCGCCGGCGACGGUUCAUUCAAAUUUCUGCCCUAUCAACUUUCGAUGGUAAGGUAUUGGCUUACCAUGGUUUCAACGGGUAACGGGGAAUUAGGGUUCGAUUCCGGAGAGGGAGCCUGAGAAACGGCUACCACAUCCAAGGAAGGCAGCAGGCGCGCAAAUUAUCCAAUCCCGACACGGGGAGAUAGUGACAAUAAAUACUGAUACAGGGCUCUUUUGGGUCUUGUAAUUGGAAUGAGUACAAUUUAAACCUCUUAACGAGGAACAAUUGGAGGGCAAGUCUGGUGCCAGCAGCCGCGGUAAUUCCAGCUCCAAUAGCGUAUAUUAAAGUUGUUGCAGUUAAAAAGCUCGUAGUUGAACCUUGGGUCUGGCUGGCAGGUCCGCCUCACCGCGUGUACUUGUCCGGCCGGGCCUUCCUUCUGGAGAACCUCAUGCCCUUCACUGGGCGUGUUGGGGACCAGGACUUUUACUUUGAAAAAAUUAGAGUGUUCAAAGCAGGCCUUUGCUCGAAUACGUUAGCAUGGAAUAAUAAAAUAGGACGUGCGGUCCUAUUUUGUUGGUUUCUAGGACCGCCGUAAUGAUUAAUAGGGACAGUCGGGGGCAUCAGUAUUCAAUUGUCAGAGGUGAAAUUCUUGGAUUUAUUGAAGACUAACUACUGCGAAAGCAUUUGCCAAGGAUGUUUUCAUUAAUCAGUGAACGAAAGUUAGGGGAUCGAAGACGAUCAGAUACCGUCGUAGUCUUAACCGUAAACUAUGCCGACUAGGGAUCGGGCGAUGUUCUUUUUCUGACUCGCUC
rnacentral:rRNA from 1 species